rnacentral:lncRNA from 1 species
CUGACAUUAUCAACAGCAAAGAUAGAUAAGUCUUUCCCCCACAUAGGUGUCAAGGAGACAUCAAGAAGGGUGUGGCUAUGUGGUGUUGUUUUCAUCUUAAAUCUCUAGGCAGCAGCCUAGAUUUACUCUGCACAGAUAUUUAUGAGANAUUAAGAACUUCACCUUGAAGGGUCCCAGAGUUCUUGUGCAUCCCAUCUACUCUCUGGAAGGGGAGAAACCAAACAAUCUUCAGCAAUGAGGCCCUUUCUUCUGUUUACUCUCCUGGCUGUGCUACUGCUGGCUAUUCCAGGCUUCUCUUCUGAAAUUCGGAGGGCAAAAACCUGUAAAGAAGCACAUGGACAUUGCAGGCAUUCCACGUGUUUCCACAGUCCUUGGCAACGCAUCGGGAAAUGUGACAGUAAAAGAUCUUGCUGCAUAAAGAAAUUAACCAAGUAGUCAUCGGUUUCCUAGAGAGCAUCUUGGAAUNGACUAGGCUUCUUGCUAGAAAUGGGCUCAAAUGCUAAGCUGAAAUGCUAGACUUCAAACUUCUCAGUAAAUAUGGCAGUGGGAGAAGCUACAACAAGAAAUUGCCACGCUGGAGGAAGAGAAAGCUUUCAAUUUAUUCCUGCUCUNAAUAAAGCAAAGCUAUGGUC